GGCCCCGUAGCUCAGUGGAUAGAGCGACGGACUUCGAAUCCGUGUGCGGAGGUUCGAUCCCUCCCGGGGCCA
rnacentral:tRNA from 1 species